CCUACGGGCGGCUGCAGUAGGGAAUCUUCCACAAUGGGCGAAAGCCUGAUGGAGCAACGCCGCGUGGGUGAAGAAGGUCUUCGGAUCGUACAACCCUGUUGUUAGAGAAGAAAGUGCGUGAGAGUAACUGUUCACGUUUCGACGGUAUCUAACCAGAAAGCCACGGCUAACUACGUGCAAGCAGCAGCGGUAAUACGUCGGUGGCAAGCGUUAUCCGGAUUUAUUGGGCGUAAAGGGAACGCAGGCGGUCUUUUAAGUCUGAUGUGAAAGACUUCGGCUUAACCGGAGUAGUGCAUUGGAAACUGGGAGAUUUGAGUGCAGAAGAGGAGAGUGGAACUCCAGGUGUAGCGGUGAAAUGCGUAGAUAUAUGGAAGAACACCAGGGGCGAAAGCGGCUCUCUGGUCUGUAACUGACGCUGAGGUUCGAAAGCGUGGGUAGCAAACAGGAUUAGAUACCCUUGUAGUC
rnacentral:rRNA from 1 species